rnacentral:rRNA from 1 species
UACGUAGGGAGCAAGCGUUGUCCGGAAUCAUUGGGCGUAAAGCGCGCGUAGGUGGCCUCGUAAGUCCGCUGUGAAAGUCAAAGGCUCAACCUUUGAAAGCCGGUGGAUACUGUGAGGCUAGAGUACGGAAGAGGCGAGUGGAAUUCCUGGUGUAGCGGUGGAAUGCGCAGAUAUCAGGAGGAACACCGGUGGCGAAGGCGGUUCUCUGGGCCUUACCUGACGCUGAGGAGCGAAAGCGUGGGGAGCGAACAGG